rnacentral:misc_RNA from 1 species
GAUGAAGAACGUAGCGAAAUGCGAUAAGUAAUGUGAAUUGCAGAAUUCAGUGAAUCAUCGAGUCUUUGAACGCACAUUGCGCCCCCUGGUAUUCCGGGGGGCAUGCCUGUCCGAGCGUCAUUGCUGCCCUCAAGCACGGCUUGUGUGUUGGGCCGUCGUCCCCCUCCUAGGGGACGGGCCCGAAAGGCAGCGGCGGCACCGCGUCCGGUCCUCGAGCGUAUGGGCUUCGUCACCCGCUCCGUAGGCCCGGCCGGCGCUUGCCGACGACCAUCAAUCUCUUUCUCCAGGUUGACCUCGGAUCAGGUAGGGAUACCCGCUGAACUUAAGCAUAUCAAUAAGCGGAGGA